rnacentral:rRNA from 1 species
CAGUAGCCGCGGUAAUACGAAGGGGGCUAGCGUUGCUCGGAAUGACUGGGCGUAAAGGGCGCGUAGGCGGCGGCCAAAGUCAGGCGUGAAAUUCCCUGGCUCAACCUGGGGGCUGCGUUUGAUACUUGGUUGCUUGAGUGGGGAAGAGGGUCGUGGAAUUCCCAGUGUAGAGGUGAAAUUCGUAGAUAUUGGGAAGAACACCGGUGGCGAAGGCGGCGACCUGGUCCUUUACUGACGCUGAGGCGCGAAAGCGUGGGGAGCAAACAGGAUUAGAUACCCCUGUAGUCCCUGUCUCUUAUAC